UGCGGAGGGUGCGAGCGUUAAUCGGAAUUACUGGGCGUAAAGCGCACGCAGGCGGUUUGUUAAGCUAGAUGUGAAAGCCCCGGGCUCAACCUGGGAUGGUCAUUUAGAACUGGCAGACUAGAGUCUUGGAGAGUGGAGUGGAAUUCCAGGUGUAGCGGUGAAAUGCGUAGAUAUCUGGAGGAACAUCAGUGGCGAAGGCGACUCCCUGGCCAAAGACCGACGCUCAUGUGCGAAAGUGUGGGUAGCGAACAGG
rnacentral:rRNA from 1 species